rnacentral:lncRNA from 1 species
GUCUUGCAUGGAUACAUUUGAGCCUGCAUGUUGCGAUCUGUAUCCAAUGAUUGUAACUUCUGUAUUGUAUCCUUCAAUGAGAAAGGACAGCUCUGGUGUGAGGAGUCCCUCUCCCUUCUCCUAAACUCUUCUACAAAACAGGGGUUUCCAACUUCCGGGAUAAGGACCUGUACCAACUCAUGGCCUGUUAGGAAAUGGGCCACACAGCAGAAGGUUAGUGGUGGGCGAGUGAGUGAAACUUCAUCUGUAUUUACAGCAGCUCCCCAUUGCUGGCAUUGCUGCCUGAGCUCCACCUCCUGUCAGAUCAGCAGCAGCAUUAAAUUCUCAUAGGAGCACAAACCCUGUUGUAAAUUCCACAUGCGAGGGAUCCAGGUUGCGUGCUUCUUUUGAGAAUCUAAUGCCUCAUGAUCUGUCUCUGUCUCCCAUCACCCCUAGAUGGGAACUUUUAGUUGCAGAAAAACAAGCUCAGGGCUCCCACUGAUUCUACUUGAUGCUCUCCAGGAACACAUCUUUGAAGACAAAAUGCCUCCAAGAUCCCCAGUACUGUAGCUCUUCUCCUGAAGCAACUAUUUCCAGCCUUGAAAGUUAUCAGCUCAGGAGAGGAAGCACUGCAAGCAGCUCCUGGGCCCUGGGGUAUGGUUGCAGAUUCAUCACCUAGCUACUUGUUUGUGGUGUUAUCAUCUUUUUUUCCCUGACAUAUUUUGGAACUUGACUACAUCUGAUAUAUUUCUCAACAUUUCUCCAGUACCAUUCACUCCAACUCCAGAGGACACCAUGGAACACCAUUUCCUCGGCUGGAAGUGGGACCAUCUCCGGCGACCUCUGCUUCUCCUCUCCUUUUCUACUUUACAGGAGCACUUACAGAAACACUUGAAAAAGUUCCCCACUCAUAGGAGACCUGUCAGUUAGCAAAUUGUACCCUGAAGUUUUGGUCUAGGAUAUCAAAGCAUAACUUAUUUUGGGGCUGCUUUACCAGAUUGUGACAUAAUAAACUUUACUUACUUCAAACAUUUUAUUUGUGAUGAGAUCACGAUCACGGAGGCCCUCGAGGAAUGGAAAUGUCUUUUUUAUUGCAUUUGAAAUCUCCACCUUAUUUCUUUUGAAGUGCUUGAAUACAAUGUCAUAGAGCAGCCUGUCAUCUACACCCUGGUCUUCCGUGAACAUCCUAGGGAAAAAGGACACCAUGUGAAAAUGGUCAUCAAGAUUCUGAGAUGUUUGUGGAGGCUGUAAGAGUUUACAUAUAAAGGACAAGCUACAAAGAAUGAACAUAUAUAAAUUAGGUGGUCCUCAGUAGAGGCCAGAAUAAAUGCAAUUGAAGCAACAAAAAAGAUGUAAUAGAAGAAAUGGAGGUUGUGAAAAACUAAUAUAGAGGACUGAAAAAGUUCUGUCUAAACUGAACAAAGCCAUUGUAAAGAUACCUUCACCUAACCAUAUAUGGAAUAUUUUUUGAAAUAAAAAUUAAAUUCCUACAGAAUCUAGGUGGAAUAAACAGGUCAUCCACAGAGAAAUGAAAAACAAUGGAAUAAAAAUAAAAUCUAACCUUGAAUAUGCAUCUUAAUCAACUGAGAGAAAACAAAUCUGAGAAAGAUGAAAAUAACAUGUCCUUCUCUAAUCUGUAGCUGUUAAGAAAGAAAUAUAAUCCUACAUCAUUAAUUCACAAAUAAUACAAUGCAGUUUAAUAAUAAUAAUGAGACCACAUUAUUGAGAAUUUCAUGAGAAUAUGAAUGAUAUCUCCUAGAAUGCCUGAUUCUACUUUGUAUUAAUAUCAAUCUCUCUGUAUUAUUGCUAUAUAUGGUGAAUCAUUUUAGGCAUCUGAAUUUCAGAAAUUGUUGCCGUUUCCUAUGAAAGUAAUUUUAAAGUUGAAUCUCUAAUUCUGGUUCUUAGUUGAUUACUUUAUUGCUCUGAUAAUGUUUUAGUCAACAUCUCAGUAUUUCUUAAUAUUAUGAAAAUUUAUGAGCCCUUCCUUCCCAACUAGAAGAGAAUUAUUGGCACUGUCCAGUAUCUAACAUGAGGCAGGAAACAAUAAUGUUACAUUAUUGUUUUGAAUUUCUGUAAAAAAAGUUUCUGGUUAAAGAUCACUAAAAUGAUAACAAAGGAAUUAGAUUCACAAUGACAAAGAGAAUGGCAGAGGACAAUGAGCAGAUAAGAGAUUUCAAGUAAAAUCUUGAAGGUGAAAAGUGGUCAGAAAAGUGCUAGUUGCAAUAGCAGAUAGGGGAUGGAUGCUUUCAGAGGUUAGGAAUCAUGGUGCCCUACAGAAUUUGUAAGAAACAAUGGAGAUUUGAAGGGAGACACAGAGCCAAAAACUGAUGUGUUAUUUGAGAAAUGAACAGAACAGUGUGUGCCCUGCCCGUCAACCCACAUCCUGACCAUAUGCAACCAGGCAGUCUCUCAGGGCAACCACUGCUGUCAUUUUUUCCAUCGUAUCUUAAUACUGCCCGCUACUGGAUUUUGUAUAAAUGGGAUAAAAGGUAUAUAUGCUUUUGUGUCUGCCUUCUUUUGCUUAUCAUUCAUGUUGAUGUGUUGAACAGUAGUUUGUUCAUUUUUGUUGUUGAGUGGCAUUCCAUUGUGUGAAUAUACCACAAUCUGCUUAUUCAGUUUUCUGUUCAUGGUCAUUGGAGUUGAUUCCACUUUGAGACUAGUAUAAAUAAAAUUGCUGCUCUUGUACAAGUCUUUUUGUGGCAAGAUGUUUUCACUUAUCUUGCAUAAAUAUGUAGCAGUGGAAUUGCUUGGUCAUUGUGUAAGAGUACAUUUAACCAUUUAAGAACCUGCCAAACUGUUUUUCAAAGACUAUCAGAGAUAGCCUUUCUAGUUUUAGCCAUUCCAGUGUGUGUGAUGUGAUAUGUCAUUUUCGUUUUAAUUUGUAUUUCUUUAAUGAUAAAAUGAUGUCAAGCACAUUUUCAUGUGUUAAUUGGCAAUUUAUUUUUUGUAAAGUGUCUGUUCAAGUCUUUGGCCCAUUUAUAUUAUUCAAUUUUACUUAUUGAUGGGUAGGCAUUUUUUAAAUAUAUUAUGGAUAGAAGUGUUUUGUCUGAUUUAUGUAUGGUGAAUAUUUUCACCCAGUCUGUAGCUUCUCUUUCAUUUUCUUAAUCAUGUCUUUUGAUGGGAAGAAAUCUGUAAUUUUGAUGAAAUCCAAUUUAUUUUUUUUUCUUUUAUAAUUAAUGACUUUAGUGUACUAUCUAAGAAAUAUUUGCCUACUCCAAGGUCAUGAAAAUAUUCAAAAAACAAUUUACAAUAUUAGCAUGGGUUUAUAUAUGUACUUUCUAUGCUAUACCAUUGAUCUAUUUGUCUACCCUUAUGCUGGUAAGAUUUUGCCUUAAAUAUCAUGGCUUAACAAAAGUCUUGAAGUCAAUUAGAAAAGAUUGGCUUGGAUUUUCUAGAUUCUUUGCUUUUAUACAUUAUCUUUUCAAAUCAGUUUGUCAAUUUCUUCAAGAAAAAACUUUAGGACUUUUUUUUGGAUUUGAAUUGAAGCUACAGAUAAAUUUGGGGGAGAUGACAACAACAUUGAGCUUCCAAUCUGUUAACAUUGUAUAUCUCUCCAUUUACUUACAUGUGUUUAAUUUUACCCAGCACUGCUUAUAGUUUUUAGAAGUCAUGUACAUCUUUCAUUAAAUUUAUUCCUCUCCAAAAACCUAUUGAAAUAAAAAAUUUAAUUUAAUUAAAUUUAAAAAAU